rnacentral:rRNA from 1 species
GAUGAACGCUGGCGGCGUGCCUAAUACAUGCAAGUCGAGCGAACGGACGAGAAGCUUGCUUCUCUGAUGUUAGCGGCGGACGGGUGUGUAACACGUGGAUCACCUACCUAUAAGACUGGGAUAACUUCGGGAAACCGGAGCUAAUACCGGAUAAUAUUUUGAACCGCAUGGUUCAAAAGUGAAAGACGGUCUUGCUGUCACUUCUAGCUGGAUCCGCGCUGCAUUAGCUAGUUGGUAAGGUAACGGCUUACCAAGGCAACGAUGCAUAGCCGACCUGAGAGAGUGAUCGGCCACACGGGAGCGGAGACGCGGUCCAGACUCCUACGGGAGGCAGCAGUAGGGAAUCUUCCGCAAUGGGCGAAAGCCUGACGGAGCAACGCCGCGUGAGUGAUGAAGGUCUUCGGAUCGUAAAACUCUGUUAUUAGGGAAGAACAUAUGUGUAAGGAACUGUGCACAGCUUGACGGUACCUAAUCAGAAAGCCACGGCUAACUACGUG